rnacentral:rRNA from 1 species
GGUACGGGUUGUGAGAGCAAGAGCCCGGAGAUGGAUUCUGAGACACGAAUCCAGGCCCUACGGGGUGCAGCAGGCGCGAAAACUUUACAAUGCUGGCAACAGCGAUAAGGGAACCUCGAGUGCCAGGUUACAAAUCUGGCUGUCGAGAUGCCUAAAAAGCAUUUCAUAGCAAGGGCCGGGCAAGACCGGUGCCAGCCGCCGCGGUAACACCGGCGGCUCGAGUGGUAACCGUUAUUAUUGGGUCUAAAGGGUCUGUAGCCGGCCGGAUAAGUCUCUUGAGAAAUCUGGCAGCUUAACUGUCAGGCUUUCAGGAGAUACUGUCUGGCUCGAGGCCGGGAGAGGUGAGAGGUACUUCAGGGGUAGGGGUGAAAUCUUGUAAUCCUUGAAGGACCACCAGUGGCGAAGGCGUCUCACCAGAACGGACCUGACGGCAAGGGACGAAAGCUAGGGGCACGAACCGGAUUAGAUACCCGGGUAGUCCUAGCCGUAAACGAUACUCGCUAGGUGUCGGCCACGGUGCGACCGUUGUCGGUGCCGUAGGGAAGCCG